rnacentral:rRNA from 1 species
GAUGAACGCUGACAGAAUGCUUAACACAUGCAAGUCGAUUCGAUUUACCUUCGGGUAUUGAGGAUGGCGGACGGGUGAGUAACGCGUAAGGAACUUGCCUCUUGGUCUGGGACAACUGUUGGAAACGACAGCUAAUACCAGAUAUUAUGAGAUUCUCGCAUGAGAAACUUAUGAAAGCUAUAUGCGCCAAGAGAGAGCCUUGCGUUCCAUUAGCUAGUUGGUGGGGUAACGGCCCACCAAGGCGACGAUGGAUAGCCGGCCUGAGAGGGUGAACGGCCACAAGGGGACUGAGACACGGCCCUUACUCCUACGGGAGGCAGCAGUGGGGAGUAUUGGACAAUGGGCCACAAGCCUGAUCCAGCAAUUCUGUGUGCACGAUGAAGGUCUUCGGAUUGUAAAGUGCUUUCAGUUGGGAAGAAGAAAGUGACGGUACCAACAGAAGAAGCGACGGCUAAAUACGUGCCAGCAGCCGCGGUAAUACGUAUGUCGCAAGCGUUAUCCGGAUUUAUUGNGCGUAAAGCGCGUCUAGGCGGAAAAAUAAGUCUGAUGUUAAAAUGCGGGGCUCAACUCCGUAUUGCGUUGGAAACUGUUUUUCUAGAGUACUGGAGAGGUGGGCGGAACUACAAGUGUAGAGGUGAAAUUCNUANAUAUUUGUAGGAAUGCCGAUGGAGAANUCAGCUCACUGGACAGAUACUGACGC